UACAUAGGGGGCAAGCGUUAUCCGGAAUUACUGGGUGUAAAGGGUGCGUAGGCGGUUAGAUAAGUCAGAUGUGAAAACUCAUUGCUCAACGAUGAGAAUGCAUUUGAAACUGUCUGACUAGAGUAUGGGAGAGGUAAGUGGAAUUCCUAGUGUAGCGGUAAAAUGCGUAGAUAUUAGGAAGAACACCAGUGGCGAAGGCGACUUACUGGACCAAAACUGACGCUGAGGCACGAAAGCGUGGGGAGCAAACAGG
rnacentral:rRNA from 1 species